rnacentral:rRNA from 1 species
AAUCAACGCUGGCGGCGCGCUUAACACAUGCAAGUCGAACGAGAAAGUGGAGCAAUCCAUGAGUACAGUGGCGUACGGGUGAGUAACACGUGGGUAAUCUACCUCUGGGUGUGGAAUAACCCUGGGAAACCGGGGCUAAUACCGCAUAAGCUUUAGCGAGGAAAGUCGCAAGACGCCGAGAGAGGAGCCCGCGGCCGAUUAGCUAGUUGGCAGGGUAAGAGCCUACCAAGGCAAAGAUCGGUAGCCGGCCUGAGAGGGCACACGGCCACACUGGCACUGAAACACGGGCCAGACUCCUACGGGAGGCAGCAGUGGGGAAUUUUGCACAAUGGGGGAAACCCUGAUGCAGCGACGCCGCGUGAGCGAUGAAGCCCUUCGGGGCGUAAAGCUCUUUCGGCAGGGACGAUAAUGACGGUACCUGCAGAAGCAGCUGCGGCUAACUACGUGCCAGCAGCCGCGGUAAUACGUAGGCAGCGAGCGUUGUUCGGAGUUACUGGGCGUAAAGGGUGUGUAGGCGGUUAUUUAAGUUUGGUGUGAAAUCUCCCGGCUCAAUCGGGAGGGUGCGCCGAAUACUGAACGACUAGAGUGCGGGAGAGGAGAGUGGAAUUCCUGGUGUAGCGGUGAAAUGCGUAGAUAUCAGGAGGAACACCGGCGGUGUAGACGGCUCUCUGGACCGCGACUGACGCUGAGACACGAAAGCGUGGGUAGCAAACAGGAUUAGAUACCCUGGUAGUCCACGCCCUAAACGAUGCAUAUUUGGUGUGGGCAGUUCAUUCUGU